rnacentral:lncRNA from 1 species
AUGGAAAGAAUUGGCAUUUUGCUCACAUUAUCUGCUUUCAUAACCAUUCAUUUUCAAGUGAAGGCCAAGAGCUUUUCUAAAAAUGUUGCUCAGAAGGACAAAGAGAGAGCUGUGAGCUCUGCACAAUGUGCUCCUUGUACAGCAGAGACAGAUUCCUUCAAAGUCAGUUAAAUUGCUAGCAACAUCUAACACAGGAAAAGGAAAAGAAGAAAAAGAAAAAUA